rnacentral:lncRNA from 1 species
AUGACGAGCCCCCUGCACGAAGGCGGCAGUCACUGCGGGCUCGGGGAGGCUGGUUUCUGCCCAGGUUCGUGGGUUUCUGCGUCUAAACACACAAGCGCACAGACCCACGCGGCUUCACACACGUUUUCUGAAGCAUCACGAAGUGCCCGACGCACCUCCAUUCCCGGAGCAGCAGUCCGGCAUCCAGGGCGGUGUGCCCCGAGUGUCUGUCCUGCUGGGGACCUUUGCACUGUGAGCGCCCCCCACAGCCAGGGCAGAGAGAGCUCCCCGUGGACCUCUCCAGCCUCCAGGCCAUGGCCUCUCUCUACGCUCAGCGGCAUCUGCUCUGCCCAACGUGACCUCCUGAGGCCAGCCCAGAGGCCCACUCAGCUGCAGAUGUCCACAGACGGCCAGGGAGAAUGGAAGGCUGGAAGUGCUGGUGGGACAAAGGUUAAUCAAGGCCAAGAUCUGAUGGGGAUGAAACUGCCCUGUGACUCUGGACUUCAACUUCCCAACAUGCAAAGUGUGGAUGCCGGGCUCGGGGGGAGACACUGACUCCUUCAUCAGGAAGAGGAGAGAUCAGGGGUGCACAGAAGUGGAGCUCCAGGUUUCCCUGUAAGAGGUAUCGACUUCAGCAAAUAUUUACUCGCCGAAACAGAGUUUGCAGAUGACUGUUGACUAAGUGUUUGAAAUCAGUGCGCUGGGUCACAGGAGCAAGAUGGUCACUUUUACUUGUUGGGGUGGACAGCCUAAGCUACUCCAUCUUGUAAAAGAACUCCAUUUUGUAAAAUUCCGGGCAAAAAGACUUAGACUUUGGAUAUUACCCAACCUUGCCCCACUGCCCACAAGCCAAUCGGCCCUCAGGUUAAACCUCCUGACUUUACAUUCAGGAACUUGUGAUUUACCUUCAAAGUAAAAACCAAUCAGGAAUCAACACACAACCCUAUAGAAGAAGGCGACCAAUCAGAUGUCCUUCAGCCUGAAAAUCCCCCUUUACCAGAAUAUUCCCUAUAUAAGCAAUGUAACCCAAAACUCGGGGCUCCUCCCUAUAGCCGCUGUGUCGGUAUCAGUGGGAGCCCCAGCUCGAGCUUGGUAAUAAAAACUCUCUUGCUUUUGCAUAGGAUAUUGGCUCCCUGGUGGUCAUUGGGAGAUUUCGCGACUUGGGCAUAACAGGGGUCCCCUCGCUCGUACCUGGAGAAGUUGGGGGCUUAACAUUUUCAGAGAAAAUCAGAGCCUGGGGCAGGAAUCACACCCAGCACACAGCUGAAGGCUCCGGGCUUGAAUCACUGCAUCAGAGCCC